ensembl:rRNA 5S_rRNA 5S ribosomal RNA
GCUUACGGCCACACCGCCUGGUUCACGCCCGAUCUCGUUUGAUCUCGGAAGCUAAGAUAGGUUGGGCCUGGUUAGUACUUGGAUGGGAGACCGCCUAGGAAUACCAGGUGCUGUAAGGC